AUUCGUCACAAAGCUGAUGGAAAAUGUGUCAGCACUCGGCUGUAUUUCAACACGGAGGACGUCUAGCAGCAGCAAAAAGAAAUUCAACUGAUAAUCAACUGUCCAAAGGAUUUGUUUUGAAGAAGAAUUUGUCACAAAGCUGAUGGCAAAUGUGUCGGCACUCGGCUUCGUUUCAACCCGGAGGAAGAUCAAUAAGAAGCUCAUCUUAAUUUAGUUGUCCCCCCUUUACGCAUUAGCGCUCAUCUCUCAUCCACUCAUCCAACACAUUCACUAUCGCCGGCCGGCAACACACAUAUAUUAUACACAUUACCCGUUUUAUAUUAUAUAAUAUUAUUAAUACCUACAUAGUUUAAGUUAUUGUAUAUUUUUUUUUUAUUAUUUGAAUGCAUUCAUAUGAUCAGUGGUGUAUUUAGGAAUUUUAGGAUAAGGGCAACACAUAUUUUGCCGCCUUCCCCCCAUUAAAAAAAAAUUAAAAAACUUCUACGCCGCGCAAUAGUGGUCAAACUGUUAAUACCAUAGAAUACCAUGUUAUAUAAAUACUAUAGUAUUUUAUACGUCUAUGGCACACAUGUGUUGUGAAAAUUAUUAAUGAUUGACGUCACUGCGCCAGUACUCAUAAAGUACGAAAUAAAAAUUUGCCGCCCCUCUAAAUCUUUAAAAAUUUGCCGUUCUGAACAUCAGAACCCAAAACCCCUACCUAAAUACGCCUCUGCAUAUGAUGCGUUCUCGCUUACGAUGUGGAUUAGGCCUACUGGGGACACCACAAUAAAAAAACGCGCCUCGUGUAAUACCUCAUAAAGUUAUUAAACAAUACGGACAAUGUUAUUGUACGUCGUUUAAUAAUAAAGGUGGUGUGGAAAAUUA